rnacentral:rRNA from 1 species
GAUGAACGCUGGCGGCGUGCCUAAUACAUGCAAGUCGAGCGAACGGACGAUAAGCUUGCUUCUCUGAUGUUAGCGGCUGACGGGUGAGUAACACGUGGAUAACCUUCCUAUAAUACUGGGAUAACUUCGGGAAACCGGAUCUACUACCGGAUAAUAUUUUGAACCGCAUGGUUCAAAAGUUAAAGACGGUCUUGCUGUCACUUAUAGCUGGAUCCGCGGUGCAUUAGCUAGUUGGUAAGGUAACGGCUUACCAAGGCAACGAUGCAUAGCCGACCUGAGAGGGUGAUCGGCCAAACUGGAACUGAGACAAGGUCCAGAAUCCUAAGGGAGGCAGCAGUAGGGAAACUUCCGAAAUGGGCGAAAGCCUGAAGGAGCAAAGCCGCGUGAGUGAUGAAGGUCUUCGGAUCGGAAAACUCUGUUAUUAGGGAAGAAAAUAUGUGUAAGUAACUGUGCACAUCUUGACGGUAACUAAUCAGAAAGCCACGGCUAACUACGUG